GAUGAACGCUGGCGGCGUGCCUAAUACAUGCAAGUCGAGCGAACAGACGAGGAGCUUGCUCCUCUGACGUUAGCGGCGGACGGGUGAGUAACACGUGGAUAACCUACCUAUAAGACUGGGAUAACUUCGGGAAACCGGAUCUAAUACCGGAUAAUAUAUUGAACCGCAUGGUUCAAUAGUGAAAGACGGUUUUGCUGUCACUUAUAGAUGGAUCCGCGCCGCAUUAGCUAGUUGGUAAGGUAACGGCUUACCAAGGCAACGAUGCGUAGCCGACCUGAGAGGGUGAUCGGCCACACUGGAACUGAGACACGGUCCAGACUCCUACGGGAGGCAGCAGUAGGGAAUCUUCCGCAAUGGGCGAAAGCAUGACGGAGCAACGCCGCGUGAGUGAUGAAGGUCUUCGGAUCGUAAAACUCUGUUAUUAGGGAAGAACAAAUGUGUAAGUAACUAUGCACGUCUUGACGGUACCUAAUAAGAAAGCCACGGCUAACUACGUG
rnacentral:rRNA from 1 species